UACCAGCACCCCGAGUGGUCGGGACGUUUUAUUGGGCCUAAAGCAUCCGUAGCCGGUUCUACAAGUCUUCCGUUAAAUCCACCUGCUUAACAGAUGGGCUGCGGAAGAUACUAUAGAGCUAGGAGGCGGGAGAGGCAAGCGGUACUCGAUGGGUAGGGGUAAAAUCCGUUGAUCCAUUGAAGACCACCAGUGGCGAAGGCGGCUUGCCAGAACGCACUCGACGGUGAGGGAUGAAAGCUGGGGGAGCAAACCGG
rnacentral:rRNA from 1 species